GCUUGCUUCAACAAUGCAUAUAGUAAAAGUGGAAUGACACAGAAAAAGAUUAUCAUGGCUUUUGGCCAAGGAUGAUGUGCAAAUUCUUGAAGCAUCCUAUAUUUUU
rnacentral:snRNA from 1 species